rnacentral:rRNA from 1 species
CAGCCGCCGCGGUAAUACGAAGGGGGCUAGCGUUGCUCGGAAUGACUGGGCGUAAAGGGCGCGUAGGCGGUUUGGACAGUCAGAUGUGAAAUUCCCGGGCUUAACCUGGGGGCUGCAUUUGAGACGUCCAGGCUUGAGUGUGAGAGAGGGUUGUGGAAUUCCCAGUGUAGAGGUGAAAUUCGUAGAUAUUGGGAAGAACACCGGUGGCGAAGGCGGCAACCUGGCUCAUGACUGACGCUGAGGCGCGAAAGCGUGGGGAGCAAACAGGAUUAGAUACCCUGGUAGUCCACGCUGUAAACGAUGUGUGCUGGAUGUUGGGUGACUUAGUCAUUCAGUGUCGUAGUUAACGCGAUAAGCACACCGCCUGGGGAGUACGGCCGCAAGGUUGAAACUUAAAGGAAUUGGCGGG